rnacentral:rRNA from 1 species
AUUGAACGCUGGCGGCAGGCCUAACACAUGCAAGUCGAGCGAGCGGCGGACGGGUGAGUAAUGUAUGGGAAACUGCCUGAUGGAGGGGGAUACCUACUGGAAACGGUAGCUAAUACCGCAUCCAAUCAGUUGUGCCACGAUGGGGUUGGCUAGUAGUUGGGGUAACGGCUCACCUAGGCGACGAUCCCUAGCUGGUCUGACAGGAUGACCAGCCACACUGGAACUGUGACACGGUCCAGACUCCUACGGGAGGCAGCAGUGGGGAAUAUUGCACAAUGGGCGCAAGCCUGAUGCAGCCAUGCCGCGUGUAUGAAGAAGGCCUUCGGGUUGUAAAGUACUUUCAGCGGGGAGGCGUUACCCGCAGAAGAAGCACCGGCUAACUCCGUGCCAGCAGCCGCGGUAAUUC